AUUGAACGCUGGCGGCAUGCUUUACACAUGCAAGUCGAACGGUAACAGGGUGCUUGCACCGCUGACGAGUGGCGAACGGGUGAGUAAUGCCUCGGAACGUGCCGAGUAGUGGGGGAUAACGCAGCGAAAGUUGUGCUAAUACCGCAUACGUACUGAGGUAGAAAGUGGGGGACCUUCGGGCCUCACGCUAUUCGAGCGGCCGACGUCUGAUUAGCUAGUAGGUGAGGUAAAGGCUCACCUAGGCGACGAUCAGUAGCGGGUCUGAGAGGAUGAUCCGCCACACUGGGACUGAGACACGGCCCAGACUCCUACGGGAGGCAGCAGUGGGGAAUUUUGGACAAUGGGCGAAAGCCUGAUCCAGCCAUGCCGCGUGUCUGAAGAAGGCCUUCGGGUUGUAAAGGACUUUUGUCGGGGAGGAAAUCCCCAGCGUUAAUACCGCUGGGGGAUGACAGUACCUGAAGAAUAAGCACCGGCUAACUACGUGCCAGCAGCCGCCGUAAUAC
rnacentral:rRNA from 1 species